UACGUAGGGUGCGAGCGUUGUCCGGAAUUACUGGGCGUAAAGAGCUCGUAGGUGGUUUGUCGCGUUGUUCGUGAAAACUCACAGCUCAACUGUGGGCGUGCGGGCGAUACGGGGCAGACUGGAGUACUGCAGGGGAGACUGGAAUUCCUGGUGUAGCGGUGGAAUGCGCAGAUAUCAGGAGGAACACCGGUGGCGAAGGCGGGUCUCUGGGCAGUAACUGACGCUGAGGAGCGAAAGCGUGGGGAGCGAACAGG
rnacentral:rRNA from 1 species